GAUGAGUCAGGAUACAGAAACACGAACAAGAACGCGCUCUAAAUCUGUUCGAGAUCAGGUUGGACAAGACAUGAAGCUGGAAUUAAGCAGCUGUCCCACCCCCGGAUGCGAUGGCAAAGGUCAUGUCAGCGGUAGAUACUCACGACACAGAAGG